rnacentral:rRNA from 1 species
AUUGAACGCUGGCGGCAGGCCUAACACAUGCACGUCGAACGAGUGGCGGACGGGUGAGUAAUGUCUGGGAAACUGCCUGAUGGAGGGGGAUAACUACUGGAAACGGUAGCUAAUACCGCAUACCAUCGGAUGUGCCCAGAUGGGAUUAGCUAGUAGGUGGGGUAAAGGCUCACCUAGGCGACGAUCCCUAGCUGGUCUGAGAGGAUGACCAGCCACACUGGAACUGAGACACGGUCCAGACUCCUACGGGAGGCAGCAGUGGGGAAUACUGCACAAGGGGCGUAAGCCGGAUGCAGACAUGCGGCGUGUAUGACGAAGGCCUUCGGGUUGUAAAGGACGUUCAGCGGGGAGGCGUGACCCGCAGAAGAAGCACCGGCUAAAUCAGUGCCAGCAGCCGCGGCAAUGA